AACGCAUAUUGCGCUCUUUGGUAUUCCGAAGAGCAUGCUUGUUUGAGUAUCAGUAAACACCUCAAAGCUUUUGAUUUUUUUUUGAAAGCUUUGGACUUGAGCAAUCCCAACACCAAUCUUUUUUAGAUUGGAGGCGGGUUGCUUGAAAUGCAGGUGCAGCUGGACAUUCUCCUGAGCUAAAAGCAUAUUCAUUUAGUCCCGUCAAACGGAUUAUUACUUUUGCUGCAGCUAACAUAAAGGGAGUUUGACCGUAUUGGCUGACUGAUGCAGGAUUUCACAGGGGUCGGCAACGACGCUUGUUAAACUCGAUCUCAAAUCAAGUAAGACUACCCGCUGAACUUAA
rnacentral:misc_RNA from 1 species